UCUAUACGGAGUUACAAAGGACGACAUUAGACGAAUCAUCUGGAAAGAUGAAUCAAAGAAGGUAAUAAUCCUGUAGUCGAAAAUGUUGUCUCUCUUGAGUGGAUCCUGAGUACGACGGAGCACGUGAAAUUCCGUCGGAAUCUGGGAGGACCAUCUCCUAAGGCUAAAUACUCUCUAGUGACCGAUAGUGAACCAGUACCGUGAGGGAAAGGUGAAAAGCACCCCGGAAGGGGAGUGAAAUAGAACCUGAAACCGUGUGCUUACAAGUAGUCAGAGCCCGUUAAUGGGUGAUGGCGUGCCUUUUGUAGAAUGAACCGGCGAGUUACGAUUUGAUGCAAGGUUAAGCAGUAAAUGUGGAGCCGUAGCGAAAGCGAGUCUGAAUAGGGCGUUUAGUAUUUGGUCGUAGACCCGAAACCAGGUGAUCUACCCUUGGUCAGGUUGAAGUUCAGGUAACACUGAAUGGAGGACCGAACCGACUUACGUUGAAAAGUGAGCGGAUGAACUGAGGGUAGCGGAGAAAUUCCAAUCGAACCUGGAGAUAGCUGGUUCUCUCCGAAAUAGCUUUAGGGCUAGCCUCAAGUGAUGAUUAUUGGAGGUAGAGCACUGUUUGGACGAGGGGCCCCUCUCGGGUUACCGAAUUCAGACAAACUCCGAAUGCCAAUUAAUUUAACUUGGGAGUCAGAACAUGGGUGAUAAGGUCCGUGUUCGAAAGGGAAACAGCCCAGACCACCAGCUAAGGUCCCAAAAUAUAUGUUAAGUGGAAAAGGAUGUGGCGUUGCCCAGACAACUAGGAUGUUGGCUUAGAAGCAGCCAUCAUUUAAAGAGUGCGUAAUAGCUCACUAGUCGAGUGACACUGCGCCGAAAAUGUACCGGGGCUAAACAUAUUACCGAAGCUGUGGAUUGUCCUUUGGACAAUGGUAGGAGAGCGUUCUAAGGGCGUUGAAGCAUGAUCGUAAGGACAUGUGGAGCGCUUAGAAGUGAGAAUGCCGGUGUGAGUAGCGAAAGACGGGUGAGAAUCCCGUCCACCGAUUGACUAAGGUUUCCAGAGGAAGGCUCGUCCGCUCUGGGUUAGUCGGGUCCUAAGCUGAGGCCGACAGGCGUAGGCGAUGGAUAACAGGUUGAUAUUCCUGUACCACCUAUAAUCGUUUUAAUCGAUGGGGGGACGCAGUAGGAUAGGCGAAGCGUGCGAUUGGAUUGCACGUCUAAGCAGUAAGGCUGAGUAUUAGGCAAAUCCGGUACUCGUUAAGGCUGA
rnacentral:rRNA from 1 species